rnacentral:rRNA from 1 species
UACGUAGGGUGCGAGCGUUGUCCGGAAUUAUUGGGCGUAAAGGGCUCGUAGGCGGUCUGUUGCGUCAGGAGUGAAAACUCGGGGCUUAACCCCGAGCCUGCUUCUGAUACGGGCAGACUAGAGGUAUGCAGGGGAGAACGGAAUUCCUGGUGUAGCGGUGAAAUGCGCAGAUAUCAGGAAGAACACCCGUGGCUAAGGCGGCUCUCUAGUACGGUACUGACGCUGAGACGCGAAAGCGUGGGGAGCGAACAGG